rnacentral:rRNA from 1 species
UAGGGAAUGUUGGACAAUGGGGGCAAACCUGAUCCAGCCAUGCCGCGUGAGUGAAGAAGGCCCUCGGGUUGUAAAGCUCUUUUGUCCGGAAAGAAAAGCUUCGGGUUAAUACCCCGGGGUUCUGACGGUACCGGAAGAAUAAGCACCGGCUAACUUCGUGCCAGCAGCCGCGGCAAUACGAAGGGUGCAAGCGUUACUCGGAAUUACUGGGCGUAAAGCGCGCGUAGGUGGUUGUUUAAGUCUGAUGUGAAAGCCCUGGGCUCAACCUGGGAAUGGCAUUGGAAACUGGGCAGCUAGAGUGCGGUAGAGGGUAGUGGAAUUCCCGGUGUAGCAGUGAAAUGCGUAGAGAUCGGGAGGAAUACCGAUGGCGAAGGCAGCCCCCUGGGUUACUACUGACGCUCAUGCACGAAAGCGUGGGGAGCAAACA